AUGGAACUCACGCCGCCCUCACCCUUCGGAUAUCACUUUUUCGUCUCAGAUUCAAACGGCUCUUCGUCGUUCAUCACGAAAUCAUCUUCUGCUUCUCAUCUUCUCGACGUCUCAUCACUUUCUCCCGCGGAUUCAAGCUUUGCGACUCCGUUUCCUUUCCUUCAUCAUAUUCUACGCGACCUCCGCCUCAAAUUUCUCCGUCUUGUUCCAGUUUUAUCUUCGCCGAAAACCGUUCCUCCGCGUCGGAGACGGCGUAGCCUUCUUCUUGUUUGUAUUUUAUUUUGUGAAUAUCAACGAUUAGAAGAAACAAAUCGUGUGAACAAAACUCAGGUAUGCAUGAAGAUUCUUUAA